rnacentral:lncRNA from 1 species
UUUUUUACCUAUAUUUUUAAUAACUUCCUUGCUUCCACUUUUUUCCAUUAUUACACUUUUUCCAUUAUUCCCUUUGUUUCACUAUCCUUUAUUCCUUUUUUCUUUGUCCGUUAUUCUCUAUUCUGUUAAUUCACAUCCUUACCAUACCCUCUUAUGUGGACUUUCGGUGGUUUAUUUUUUAGUUCUGGUAUUAUGCAAUCAGUCAAUUUUUCAUAAAGUUUCAUGAAAUAAUGGUUUUAUGCAUAUCAGCCAAGAUUGUGCGUGAAAUUUUA